rnacentral:lncRNA from 1 species
AGCUCUGCCGUCUUCACAAACGCAGGCUCCACCAAACACAAGGUUUUUGGCUGAUGAUCAUAUUCUUACGAACAGCUACGUAGUCCCAUGGGCACAAUCUCAGGCAGAAGCUCAAGUCCCCAAAAUGGCACAGUUUGUUCCAUUGGGACCUCAGUUUCAGCAGCAGCAUCAGCAGCAAUUUUCAUAUGGUUAUCCUCAGGCACAAUGGAACGGUGUUCAAGCCAACAAUUAUAAUGACACAACACUGUGGGGGCAAGGAGUUAGUGAGAAUAAGGUAUUUGAGAGAAACUUGCAAUACUCAAACUCUUUUCCAGCUAGAGGAGGGGCGGGGGGACCAUCAGGUGCAGAGGUGGAGGGGCAGGCUCAGCAGCAGCCCCAGAGGCAGUAUGUUCCUCCGUACAAAUUGUUUGAAGAUCUGAAUGUUUUCUGGAAGGGAGAUGGAGGCGUUAGGAGUAGCAAAUGAGAUUUUGUUGGGAUCCCAAAAGAUUUUAAUAAACUGAAUAACAAUGAACUUUUUGUCUUAAUUUGCUGCGAACAAAUAAAAGAGAUCCUACUUUGAAUUCCUUACUGAAAUUAAUUGUGUUUCCUUGACUUACAAAUCUGACGAUACAUACAAUAUAUUACAAAGAGUUUGUUUAUUAGUUUGACAAUGCUAUCAUGUCCAAGAAUACAGGAGAGUGGUUUGGCAUAUUCUUUUAAUCUCCCUCGGUCUAAUCGUUUGAAGUUCAAUAGAUAGGCUGUGUUUGAACUGUUGAACAAUGUUGUCUCCGAUUGUUGUCUCCGUUUCUCUAGAGAAAAUCGAUUUUAUAGUGGUUAGUCCAUUAAUUCCGUUUCUCUAGAGAAAAGCGAUUUUAUAGUGGUUAGUCCAUCAAUUUAGAGAGUACUAGUAAUUCAUUGUUCUAAAAUGCUUUGAUUUUUAUCAUAAUUUCACGACGCUAUCGCCUCUGGUGUCUCUCUUCCUAUGUUGCAGGCUGCCCCAGAAACAAGUGACUCGACAAGCUCUGUCCUAAUCAAGACUAGUGAUGCUGAUGCUGCUGCUCUUGAGUCUGACCCUUCUUCAUCAUCAACGAGCAGUGAAAGUGAAACAUAUGAGGAGGGAGAUGAUGUUAAAAAUGACUUUAUCCAGUUAACCAAAAGGUUAGUCUCUCUCAACAACAUAAACCUGCUAAAAGAAAGAAAAAGUUUAAAGAAAUGGUCAACGAAUUUGCAGUCACGCUCUAUUAAAUGCCGAGGAAGAAGAAGAAGAAACCUUGCUUCUAGGCAACAACAAUGGAAAUACAGCGGAAACCGAAGCCAAGACAGAGUGCAAAGAUCUAGCUCUAUUUGACACAGCAACAAGCAAGUCGGAGCAGGACAUUAUUGAACUUCUCAGCCUAACUUUGUCAACAACAGCUCUGCCGUCUUCACAAACGCAGGCUCCACCAAACACAAGGUUUUUGGCUGAUGAUCAUAUUCUUACGAACAGCUACGUAGUCCCAUGGGCACAAUCUCAGGCAGAAGCUCAAGUCCCCAAAAUGGCACAGUUUGUUCCAUUGGGACCUCAGUUUCAGCAGCAGCAUCAGCAGCAAUUUUCAUAUGGUUAUCCUCAGGCACAAUGGAACGGUGUUCAAGCCAACAAUUAUAAUGACACAACACUGUGGGGGCAAGGAGUUAGUGAGAAUAAGGUAUUUGAGAGAAACUUGCA